rnacentral:rRNA from 1 species
GUAGGGUGCGAGCGUUAAUCGGAAUUACUGGGCGUAAAGCGUGCGCAGGCGGAUUGUUAAGCAAGACGUGAAAUCCCCGGGCUUAACCUGGGAAUGGCGUUUUGAACUGGCAGUCUAGAGUGUGUCAGAGGGGGGUGGAAUUCCACGUGUAGCAGUGAAAUGCGUAGAGAUGUGGAGGAACACCAAUGGCGAAGGCAGUCCCCUGGGCCUGUACUGACGCUCAUGCACGAAAGCGUGGGGAGCAAACAGGAUUAGAUACCCUGGUAGUCCACGCCCUAAACGAUGUCAACUGGUUGUUGGGGGAGUGAAAUCCCUUAGUAACGAAGCUAACGCGUGAAGUUGACCGCCUGGGGAGUACGGUCGCAAGAUUA